UACAGAGGUCUCAAGCGUUGUUCGGAUUCAUUGGGCGUAAAGGGCGCGUAGGCGGCGUGGCAAGUCACUUGUGAAAUCUCCGGGCUUAACUCGGAACGGUCAAGUGAUACUGCUGUGCUAGAGUGCGGAAGGGGCAACUGGAAUUCUUGGUGUAGCGGUGAAAUGCGUAGAUAUCAAGAGGAACACCUGCGGCGAAGGCGGUUCUCUGGGCCUUACCUGACGCUGAGGAGCGAAAGCGUGGGGAGCGAACAGG
rnacentral:rRNA from 1 species